GCAAGAUAGCUCAGUUGGUUAGAGUGUGGUCUGAUAACGCCAAGGUUGCAGGUUCGAUCCCUGUAUGGGACAGCUGCU
rnacentral:tRNA from 1 species